CUUCAGCGAACCCAGGUACAGCGGCCGGUCGGCCGCGCGCCCCUGACCGUAGGUGGCCAGCAGGGCCUGCGCCUC
rnacentral:antisense_RNA from 2 species